rnacentral:rRNA from 1 species
UACGGGGGGGGCAAGCGUUGUUCGGAAUUACUGGGCGGAAAGGGCUCGUAGGCGGCCAACUAAGCCAGACGUGAAAUCCCCAGGCUUAACCUGGGAACUGCGUCUGAUACUGGAUGGCUUGAAUCCGGGAGAGGGAUGCAGAAUUCCAGGUGUAGCGGUGAAAUGCGUAGAUAUCUGGAGGAAUACCGGUGGCGAAGGCGGCAUCCUGGACCGGCAUUGACGCUGAGGAGCGAAAGCCAGGGGAGCAAACGGG